UCGGGCGGAACCGACACAUGGCGUGGUCGGUAUUAGCUCGAACCCGCCCAUAGUGAGUACAAAGUGCGAUUAACGAAAGUGAAAGGAAGCAGGAAUGCGUAGCCGUGGCGGCCGCGCCGCAACCACGACCGCGUUCGAGUCUCUUCGGAGAGGCGCGCCCGCAGCGACGCCAGCUGUAUCGCUAGUUGGUCGAGUCGCAGCUGUGACAUCAGGACGUAGUCGUCCCAUCUCUCCUUCCAGAGGUAGAAGGCGUCACUGCGGUCGGUGGAGAUGUCCAGUCGGUCAGGCCGGAUCGGCUGCAGGCUCGUCAUACCACAGCGAUUACGAAGGACUGUUCUAGAAGCCCUCCACGCCAGCCACCUGGGGAAGGAGAAAACGAAGGCCCGCGCAAGACAGAUCGUCUACUGGCCCGGGAUCUAACGGGAUGUGGAAAAUAUCACCCGCUGCUGUACCAGCUGCCAGAGAGAUCUACUCGCUCAGCAGCAAGAGACCAUGAUGAGGAGACCGCCAGCGGAAAGGCCGUUCGAACAACACAUCGACUUUGCCGAUCACGCAGGCAGGAAGUACCUCGUGGCAGUGGACAGAUACUCCGGGUGGCUGUUUGUCGCCGACCUCGGUGUAAGCGCCCCCGCUUACACCGGUCCGAAGGACGAUAGCAGGCGUCAUGACGGGCGCACUCGCUACGCGACUUAGCGUAAAUGGACGGCACGGGAAAAGGGCUUUCGGCGGUACCCGGCUUUUUGAUGUCGUGUUCAGAGCCGUGCGGCGGAACGGGCUUACCCAGGACACCAACAACGGCCAGCUGGAGGUGGCGCCACGAAAGUGGUUUACGGGUGCCAGGAACCGCGACGGAGGCCGCCAGGAGAGGACACCAGCUGGAGUUUAAGCGGAGGAGCAGAUGAGAGAAGAAGUCUAGAGAUGAACAGAAGAGAGGAGAGAGUUUAAACAGCAUUUUUGUGUUUAUCGAUAAUAUAAAUAUUGAUCACUGA
rnacentral:lncRNA from 1 species